UAGGGAAUCUUCGGCAAUGGGGGCAACCCUGACCGAGCAACGCCGCGUGAGUGAAGAAGGUUUUCGGAUCGUAAAGCUCUGUUGUAAGAGAAGAACGAGUGUGAGAGUGGAAAGUUCACGCUGUGACGGUAACUUACCAGAAAGGGACGGCUAACUACGUGCCAGCAGCCGCGGUAAUACGUAGGUCCCGAGCGUUAUCCGGAUUUAUUGGGCGUAAAGCGAGCGCAGGCGGUUAGAUAAGUCUGAAGUUAAAGGCUGUGGCUUAACCAUAGUACGCUUUGGAAACUGUUUAACUUGAGUGCAGAAGGGGAGAGUGGAAUUCCAUGUGUAGCGGUGAAAUGCGUAGAUAUAUGGAGGAACACCGGUGGCGAAAGCGGCUCUCUGGUCUGUAACUGACGCUGAGGCUCGAAAGCGUGGGGAGCAAACAGGAUUAGAUACCCUGGUAGUCCACGCCGUAAACGAUGAGUGCUAGGUGUUGGGUCCUUUCCGGGACUCAGUGCCGCAGCUAACGCAUUAAGCACUCCGCCUGGGGAGUACGACCGCAAGGUUG
rnacentral:rRNA from 1 species